CAGCAGUGUGUCUCCUGAAAAGAGAGCUGAUUAGAGAGGCAGUUUUGAAUUUAGGAGUGGCAAGAUGGCAGCGGCAAACCCUGGCGGUUCUCCGGGUUCGUGGCAACCACGGAUGGGAAAAUGUGGAGGUUGCACGGCUGAUGUUUACUGUUCAUGGCACAGGAAGAGGCAGUUUUAUUUCAGGAAUGAGUGAGCACAAUCAAAGAAUAGAGCGACUGUGGAGAGACCUCUGGGUGGCCAUUACAUGCUUUACUACGAUGUUCUUCACAACCUUGAGGAAGAAGACCUUCUUGACAUUUCAAAUGCUGCACACCUCUUUUGCUGCCAUUACGUCUUUCUUCCUCGACUGGAGGAUGAUUUUAAUACAUUUUGCAGUGGAUGGGACAACCAUCCACUGCGAACAAAAAACAACAUGAGUCCCAACCAGCUGUGGGAGUUGGGUCACAGAUAUCACCCUGUUCCUGUUCCAGAAAACACACAGCUUAUCACACAUUUGAUUUCCAUGUGUGACGA